AUUGAACGCUGGCGGCAUGCCUUACACAUGCAAGUCGAACGGUAACGCGGGGCAACCUGGCGACGAGUGGCGAACGGGUGAGUAAUGCAUCGGAACGUGCCCAGUAGUGGGGGAUAGCCCGGCGAAAGCCGGAUUAAUACCGCAUACGACCUACGGGUGAAAGCGGGGGACCGCAAGGCCUCGCGCUGUUGGAGCGGCCGAUGUCAGAUUAGGUUGUUGGUGGGGUAAAGGCCUACCAAGCCGACGAUCUGUAGCUGGUCUGAGAGGACGACCAGGCACACUGGGACUGAGACACGGCCCAGACUCCUACGGGGGGCAGCAGUGGGGAAUUUUGGACAAUGGGGGCAACCCUGAUCCAGCCAUGCCGCGUGCGGGAAGAAGGCCUUCGGGUUGUAAACCGCUUUUGUCGGGGAAGAAAUCUUCCGGGCUAAUACCUCGGGGGGAUGACGGUACCCGAAGAAUAAGCACCGGCUAACUACGUGCCAGCAGCCGCCGUAACAC
rnacentral:rRNA from 1 species